UUUCAACAAAAUGGAGAUUAUCUCCUUUAUCUCGUCUCUUUCUGCAUAUUUCCAGAGAGCACGACCAAAUAAUACCCCUAACAUCACCCUUAAGAUCGGUUUCAAAUGAUACUAUCAUCUGAGGCACGAAAUCACGAAGCAAUAACACAAGAACGAUCCCCACGGCGUAAGUAUUGCUAUAUAACCUCUCUUUUUCUUUGUAGUUUGAGUUUUGGAAGGUAUUUUGAAGUUAAUAAAAAUGCCUAAUUUCUGGUUUCAAGAUCUUAAAUAUCAAUUAAGGUUGAUUAAUUCAUUUCAUAAUAUUUAGAACUCACGGGACGGUGAUCGGAAGCCAUGAGUUCGAGUUAUUUGAUUUGUAAUGGACUGUUUUGUGGGCUGUUUCGUGUAGCUUUUGGGAUGUAUAUUUUGCUGCUAUUUAAUGAAGUUUUUGGAGGUUUAAUGGUGCGGAGAAACACCACAUAUUGGUGAAAUAAUGGAUUAGACAUUCUUUAUAAUAUUUUCGGGGUGUUGGACACUACUAUAGUCGUUGUUUUUGGUAUGAAUUGAUUGGAGUGUGUUGGGCUGUUGUAAGCUAAAUAUAACAUGAAUUUCGACUUGCAUCUACUGUAGGAGGUAAUUAUAUUGUGCUCCAACAAGUGCUUAAGGUUAUAUUGACAUCGGUUGAGUUAAAUGGAUGAACUAGACAUGAACUAGUGAAUAAAGUUGCUAAUUAAGAAUAAUUGGAGUUUUGGAUCAUUUUCUUUGUUAUGGAUAUGUGGUAUAAGGUUGGAAUUAUUGAUGAAUGACUUCAUUAUCAUGUUAAUGAUACUAUUAAUUUAAAGUAAAAAGUCUAUAAGGGAGGAUGGGGGAUAUACGAAUUUCAAUUGGAGCUUGUCGCUAGUAGUAAAAUAGUUAUGAAUUGUUGUUGUUUUAUGGUGUCUUGUUAUUGAUAAUUUGUAUUGAUAGAUUUCUCUGGUAAUUGUUGUUGGUAUAUGGUAUUGUAUGAAGCUCUUGUUACAGGGGAGAUGCUGCCCAAAUUUAUAUAAAUGAGCUACAAGUUUAAGUUGCAAACUUAGCCUUUAUUCAACACUGAUUUUGAAUCUCCUUAUGCAAUGGUAGAUUGAGUUGAGUUGUUUGAAGAGUUGCUUGAGAGGUAUUAAGGACUAAACAUGGUUAAGGUAUGUUAAGGCACUUCCCUCUUUAUUUUGGCAUGAUCUAAAGUGAAAUGAAUACGCUAUUUCAUAACAGAUCUACUCCUAGAAACUAAGGUUGCUCAUGUUGUUCUUUCCUUAUAAGGUUAUUCUAAGCAAGUAUGUAUGAUCCUUAAAUCCUAUAGAAGCUCAUAUUGAUGGUAUGAUGUCCAUAAUGUUAAUCGAAGGUGCAACGACCUUAAGUCACUCCAAAAAGGUUUAGAACGUGAUUCCAUGAGUUUAGCAUGCAUUAUAUAUAAUAUCUAUUUUACUCUACCGAGCCGCACUAUAGUAGGCCGGGUAUGACAUCUAUUGCGUAACCACUGAUCAGUUGGAUUUACCGAGCUCCACGUGGCCGGGUACGAUUCUACCGAGCCUUAUGAUGGCCGGGUACAUUUUUACCGAGUCCUCUUUGAGGCCGGGUACGAUAUGAUGAUGAUAAUUCCUACAGACGCGUAUGUUUUUAAAAGUUUAUGUAUAUAUAUGUAUUAUGCAUUUCAUGUCAGUAGCCCACAGAGGCACGCAGAUGUUACAGGUUGUAUCUCCUCUAUCUCUCUUUAUAUUACUAUUCUUGUUUAUGCUUCCUGCCUUACAUACUCGGUACUUUAUUUGUACUGACGUUCCUUUUGCCUGGGGACGCUGUGUUUCAUGCCCGCAGGUCCCAAUUGAUAGGUUUACAUUCCUCCUAGUAGGCUAUUAGCUCAGCGGAGUUGUUGGUGCACUUCACUUGCUCCGGAGUUGCCUAUUUGGUCAGUAUGCUUUGGAUAUGUAUUGAUUGAUAUGGUGGGGCCCUGUCCCGACCUUUAUGAUUUUAUGUACUCUUAGAGGCUUGUAGACAUAUAUCGUGUAUAUGAAAAUCAUAUGGACUUAUCGGCCUAUGUUCAGUGUAUGAGUUAUCACUUUGGUUUUAUAGGCACGUAUGUCACAUGUAUAAGUUUUCAUGUCAUGUGAGGUCGUCUAAUAUUUAGUAUUCCAUUAUAUUUUAUUUUUGUUAUCUCAUGACGACCUUUCUAGGCUAUUUACCCAUGAUAUUAUGAUAUUACAGAUACGUUAUGUUGGUACUCGGUUAAGUAAGGUAUCGGGUGCUCUUCGCGGCCCAUCGGUUUGGGUCGUGACAGAAAUGGUAUCAGAGCAGUUCUGUCCUAGGGAGUCUACAAGCCGUGUCUAGUAGAGUCUUGUUUAUAGGUGUGUUGUGCAUCACACUUAUAAGCAUGAGGCUACGGGGCAUUUAGGAUUGUCACUCUUUCUUAUUGUUCUAGAUCGUGUGCUAGAGCUCAGUUAUAAGAAUUCAAACUCUUAAAUUUUAUUUUAUUCAUAGUACAGUGAUACCUACAUCCAGAAAGACAGUUGGUAUGAUAUUGAAUGUGGUUGUGGAAGAGUUGUGUCAGAGGAACUUGAUUUUGCAUCAUGCUUAUGAUGAGCAAAUGUGGGGUCUUCAGCAAAUCAUAUGUGUUCUAAGAUGUGUAAGCUUCUUGAUAAGGAGUCAUAAGGCAAGAAUAUAUAUCCACUCGUAUGGUAAAAAGGAAUAAGUGAAUCGGAAAGUAGACAGAAGUUUCAGCAAGUAAAAUAAGCAAGAUGACGAAGGGUACGAGGUACCUAGUUAAUGAAGAUUAUCAGUAUUUACAAUUCAGGCAGAGAAAUGUAAGUAUUGGUGUUACCUUAAAUAUUAACGGUAAUAUAUACAAUUGACCACACCCAUGUCAGCUGUGUCAUAUGGGAGCUAACAAAUAUAGUUUAAAAGAAGAAGGUGAUAUCAAGAUUCAAUUCGGGUUGGAGUAACCAACAAUUAUGGAUGGAUUGUUAUCACUAACUAAUGUUUCCGAAAGAUGGCGCAAAUGUGGUAGUAGAUCUCCUUGUGAGACACCAAAAUAGUGAACUUUAGAAUAGUACAAUCAGAUAUGAAUACUAGAAUAUUCAAAAAUUUCAGAAGAUUGGUAGUAGGAUCCUAGAAGGGAAAAAUAUUUCCCUUAGUAUAACUCCAGCCCCGAGUAAAAAAAAGGGGGAAAAGAGAAUGUUAGGCAUUCCGAAGAGCCAGUGAGAUGAAGAAAGGGGAGCUAAAAGGGAAAGAAUAUUUUGUCAGAGUUUUCAGAAUAAAGUGAUAGACAAAAAGUAUUAUCCGGAGAAUAAGAAGAGAGUAAAUGAAACAUCAUGAGUAAGAUGUGAUAUAUGAGUGAUAACAGUAAAUCAAAAUAUGACACAAUGACAGAGUCCAUAGUCAAGUGAAGGAAAAUACAAGAGGUGACAGGCCUUGAGGCAAUAAAAGAGUAUAAGCCAUAAAGUUAUAUCCUUAUUUCGAGAAAUGAGUUGGUGACUUCAACGUGAUUACCAGGAGGAAAGGUUAGACCACAGAGUAAUAAAAAUCAGUAUAUGCUGGUGAACAAGAUAAACUGAACAUGAAUUAGGGACUGAAGGAUUUUAUAAUGGUUGAUAUCAUGAGAAUUUCAGAGAUAACAUUUCGACAAUAAUAGAAUGGACAACAAAAGAAUAACCUUUAAGGUUUGUUUAGGAAGAUGCUUCCCUAAAGCAAGCACGUGAAGCAGAGUUAAGCUUAAGGGACUAAGUGUGCCAGUUACACUAAGUGUCACCCUUGUGCGUAAUAAAUUUAAUUAUCCCCGAUAUAGAGGGGUUACCUCAAGGCAAGUAAGAUUUUAGUGAAGAUGUGAAAAAAUGGCAAGAUGAAGAGGUAACUAUGGAAUAGUAAAGGAGGGAUGAGGUAAAAGGGUGAAAGGAAUGAUAUAGAAUCUAUUCAGAUCCUAUAUAUAUGAUAUGACUCCAGAACAUUAUGCAAGUAUGACGCCAGAGAGAAGCUUUAAGUGUUGCACACCCGAUGAUGUUGAUAAUAAGUGCAAAUGAACACUUGAUACAUAAGGAGUGGGCGUGGGAGGUAACUUAAGACAAAGUAAAUAACCAAAGAGAGAUUAUGAGGAAUAUAGAUAUGAGAAUGGACCAACGAGUAGUUUGUAGUUGAUUCAGGAAGAGCUAAGUUAUGGCUAGACAAAAGGUUAUAAGCAAAUCAACAGAUCAUGCAAGAUAAACGCCGUGAAUCCUAAUCUAGCAAAUUUAGUCUCGCAAAUAUGAUGUCGUAACCUUGAGAAAUGUUCAUAUAGGAGUUGGAGUAUUUAAAUGUAUUGUAUAAGUGUUACGGAAAUAAUGGAGAGCGCCACUAAUGAGACAAUCAAAAUUUGAGUUUAGAAUUAACACAAGUACAAGGGCAUGAAGGAAUGUAACUAAGGAUGUUUGUAGGCGAGUAAGAAUAUUGAAAAUUCCUUCGGGUAUACAGUAUAACAAGAUCGUAACUUUACAAGAUCCAGAAGGUCUCCUUAAGUACUACAAAGAAAGACUAGCUGAGGAAAUAAGGAAUAAGGCUUCAACUUAAGCAUAACCGAUAUAAAGAAGAAAAGGUCUUGUAACAAUAGUCUCACUACAAUAUGGGAUACACUCCAUAAGAAAGUGGCACCUAUCGUGAUUAAUGAACGGGAAGUCAGAAGUGAUAUUUAAGAUCAUAUGAGUUAUAGGAAAUUCAAGUAUUGGUGGGCAAUAAGAUAAGCCAAGAAUUCACACAGUAAGUGGCAUAACGACCAGGAAAAGUGAUUGCUUAGAUUUAAAGAACGCUGAGAAGGAAUAAAAGGAAUUAUUCAAUCAAUGACCCAGAGUUGGUUAAGUUGUGAAUGCACUUAAGAUUUCAGAUUUAUAUCCACAACAUUCAUACAACUAUAGGAGACUCUAGUAUAAGUAAAAGAAAGAAUUAAGUCCACGUCACCGACAAAGACUUGAAUUGUUAGAAGAUUAUAUCAUGGAUGUUACAUAGAGUCCAUGAAGGGCUAAUGUAAUAGCUAAUACUCUAAGCUGAAGAUUGGAAGAUAGCCUAAGCUUAAUUAAAGGCUGAUAAGGAAGAGGAAGCUCGAAAGUUACAUCACGAGUCCGAUUGUUAGACUUAGAUGAUUAUAAAAAUCGUGACUCAAACCAUAGCAGGAGUGCUUUUAAUAGCAGAGGUAUAAGAGGGAUAGUAAAAGAACCAUAUUCUAUAAAAGCUCUAUGAUAAAGCAAUUAGAAGGGUACUAGCCUCAUAAGACGUUAAUACGAAGCUCCUACCAGAUUGUGUAUGCACCAGGGUUACAAGUAUUAUAGUAGAGCUUUAAGGCAUGUAUGUGAAUUCCACUAAUGUAGAAGGGAGGUUAUGAAAUUGAUAGAAUAUACGGUGCGAGAUUUAAAGGUAAGUAUGGUAAAUAUGAGUGAGAAGGUGACAAUAAUAGGCAAGGUCUCAGGAUUAAACCCGUCAAAACAAGAGGUCUGAUGAUUUCCAUGAGCUAUAGAAAGCUCGGUACACUUUGAAUGAACUAAGAGGAGUAUAAGAACAUGAGCAAUUAGAAGAGAUGGAAUACUGCUCUAGUAGUAGAAUAAGGGUGUAAUUGUGAUAGUUAAGAGAAUGACAUUUGGGCCUUCGAUUGAGUAAUGAUUUAAAGAAAAGAGAUUUCAUGGAUGGAAUGGUGUUAGAAUGCCCCCAAAAGAUGAAUACGUUGGGAUGUUAUGAAAAUGCAGUUAUUGAAGUAUAGUAUCGUCCCUAGGUGCAUCAAGAAAAUCACUUCAGAUGUUCUUCGAUGAGACACGAGUCUUAGUGACAAUGUAUUACAUCUGAGGCAAUGGUUGGAGUUAGUGAAAGAAUAUGACAUUUAUACUUUAUAUCAUCCAGGGAAGGCGAAUGUAGUAGUCAAUGCCCUUUAUCAUAGAUCUAUGUUUAUCCUAUCAUAUUUACAGGCAUAGAAGAGUGAGAUAGCUUGCGAGAUUCAUCUUCUAGCUAAUCUUGGAAUUCGAUUACUAGAUGCAUGUGGUACCAGAGUUACUACUUAGGACAUGGAAAUCUCCUCUUUAGUAACUGAAGUGAAGGAAUGCCAUUAUGAAGAUCAAGUGAUAGGUCAUUAUAGAGAUACAACCCUUCAAAAGGAGAAGACACUAUUUGAGAUUACAGAAGAUAAAGUCCUUAGAUAUUGAGGUCGAUUAUAUGUUCCUAAUGUCGUAGGGUGAGAUGGAGCCCUUAGAUAUCGAGGUCGAUUAUAUGUUCCUAAUGUAGCAGGGUUACGCCAGUAGGUUAUGGGACAAGCAAUGAAAAAUUAACCUAGAGUUGUGUAGCACACCUCGGUUAUAAUACCAAAGCUAUAAAACAAAAUAUAGCAAUAGUCGUACAUUCAGCAAAGUACCAAGCGAAGAGCUUAAGUAUACCUAUAUAUGCCCAGAGGGACAUCUUGUCAUAGUUCUAUAUUUGUAUUCACAAAGUGAAGCCAACAGAUUGGCAAAAAGCUGGAGGAAAAAGGAGAGAAGAGUCGUGCAUAAAAGGACAUAGUCAUAUAGGAUACAUCAUAGAAGGUAGUCGAAGUUACGAUAUCGGAAGAACUCCGGCCAUAAUUCGCAAGGUGAGAAUAGGACUAAAGAGGGGGGGGCGGAAUGCCCUGGUUUUAAAUUUAUUCAUAGAACAAUUGCCUAGAUGACAAAGGACAAUAUUAAAGUAUUCAUAAGAGCCAUAUGGCAUGAGAAUGAGAAGCGCAUCAGUCAACAUUCGAGGAAGAAUGUUCCAAAGGGGGUAAUAAUGUUACAACCCAUAUUUUUGUACGUGAAAGUACGUCGUAAGUCCGUUGAUGUAAGCUCAGAAAUGAGAUCCUCUUGGAAAGUAUAUAAAGUGAUUUAAUGGUGUUACGUCCCAUAUUUUAUUUUAUUUUUUAUUUUUGCAAGCCUUUGAGAGUUAAUAUUCAAGGAUAAAUUUUUACAAGGGUACAUGUUGUUACACCCCAUACUUCAGAUGUUACUAUCAUUAUAGGAUUAUCUAAUGUAAAUUCAAAAAGGAUAAAAUCCUUCUACAAGGACAAGAAAGGUUUGCCGAAGUGUUAGGCAUGUUAAGAUGAAUAUGAGACAUGUUAAUCAUGAUUUAAAUGAGUUUAAAUACAUGAUAUAACUAUAUAUGAUAUUUGUAUAUGAAGUAUAAAGUUUGAGAAAAAUCGGAUUUAAGUUGCGGAAAAACUGACUAAGGAUUUGCCUUGUAAUGAAGCUUUUUUGAAUAAUAAAUUUUGUGUGCUAUAUGAUGUCUUUUUGGGACAUAUUAUAUACCAAAUUGAAGGUAUUGGAAUUUAGUUUCCAACGCUCUUAACCGUUUGCUCAUACGACACCCGGAUAAAAAGUUAUAAGCAUUGGAAGACGAGCCAAUUAUAGGGUGCCAAGUAGCACCUUUUGACUUUUCAACAAAAUGGAGAUUAUCUCCUUUAUCUCGUCUCUUUCUGCAUAUUUCCAGAGAGAACGACCAAAUAAAACCCCUAACAUCACCCUUAAGCUCUGUUUCAAAUGAUACUAUCAUCCGAGGUACGAAAUCACGAAGCAAUAACACAAGAACGAUCCCCACGGCGUAAGUAUUGCUAUAUAACCUCUCUUUUUCUUUGUAGUUUGAGUUUUGGAAGGUAUUUUGAAUUUAAUAAAAAUGCCUAAUUUCUGGUUUCAAGAUCUUAAAUAUCAAGUAAGGUUGAUUAAUUCAUUUCUUAAUAUUUAGAACUCACGGGACGGUGAUCGGAAGUCAUGAGUUCGAGUUAUUUGAUUUGUAAUGGACUAAUUUGUGGGCUGUUUCGUGUAGCUUUUGGGAUGUAUAUUUUGCUGCUAUUUAAUGUAGUUUUUGGAGGUUUAAUGGUAUGGAGAAACACCACAUAUUGGUGAAAUAAUGGAUUAGACAUUCUUUAUAAUAUUUUCGGGGUGUUGGACACUACUAUAGUCGUUGUUUUUCGUAUGAAUUGAUUGGAGUGUGUUGGGUUGUUGUAAGCUAAAUAUAACAUGGAUUUCGACUUGCAUCUACUGUAGGAGGUAAUUAUAUUGUGCUCAAACAAGUGUUUAAGGUUAUAUUGACAUCGGUUGAGUUAAAUGGAUGAACUAGACAUGAACUAGUGAAUAAAGUUGCUAAUUAAGAAUAAUUGGAGUUGUGGAUCAUUUUCUUUGUUAUGGAUAUAUGGUAUAAGGCUGGAAUUAUUGAUGAAUGACUUCAUUAUCAUGUUAAUGAUACUAUUAAUUUAAAGUAAAAAGUCUAUAAGGGAGGAUAGGGGAUAUACGAAUUUCAAUUGGAGCUUGUCACUAGUCGUAAAAUAGUUAUGAAUUGUUGUUAUUUUAUGGUAUCUUGUUAUUGAUAAUUUGUAUUGAUGGAUUUCUCUGGUAAUUGUUGUUGGUAUAUGGUAUUGGAGGAGGCUCUUGUUACAGGGGAGAUGCUGCCCGAAUUUAUAUAAAUGAGCUACAAGUUUAAGUUGCAAACUUAGCCUUUAUUCAACACUGAUUUUGAAUCUCCUUAUGUAAUGGUAGAUUGAGUUGAGUUGUUUGAAGAGUUUCUUGAGAGGUAUUAAAGACUCACCAUGAUUAAGGUAUGUUAAGGCACUUCCCUCUUUAUUUUGGCAUGAUCUAAAGUGAAAUGAAUACGCUAUUUCAUAACAGAUCUACUCCUAGAAACUAAGGUUGCCCAUGUUGUUCUUUCCUUAUAAGGUUAUUCUAAGCAAGUAUGUAUGAUCCUUAAAUCCUAUGGAAGUUCAUAUUGAUGGUAUGAUGUCCAUAAUGUUAAUCGAAGGUGCAACGACCUUAAGUCACUCCAAAAAGGUUUAGAAAGUGAUUCCAUGAGUUUAGCAUGCAUUAUAUAUAAUAUCUAUUUUACUCUACCGAGCCGCACUAUAGUAUGCCGGGUAUGACAUCUAUUGUGUAACCACUGAUCAGUUGGAUUUACCGAGCUCCACGUGGCCGGGUACUAUUCUACCGAGCCUUAUGAUGGCCGGGUACGUUUUUACCGAGUCCUCUUUGAGGCCGGGUACGAUAUGAUGAUGAUAAUUCCUACAGACGCGUAUGUUUUUAAAAGUUUAUGUAUAUAUAUGUAUUAUGCAUUUCAUGUCAGUAGCCCACAGAGGCACGCAGAUGUUACAGGUUGUAUCUUCUCUAUCUCUCUUUAUAUUACUAUUCUUGUUUAUGCUUCCUGCCUUACAUACUCGGUACUUUAUUUGUACUGACGUCCCUUUUGCCUGGGGACGUUGUGUUUCAUUCCCGCAGGUCCCAAUUGAUAGGUUGACAUUCCUCCUAGUAGGCUAUCAGCUCAGCGGAGGUGUUGGUGCACUCUACUUGCUCCGGAGUUGCCUAUUUGGUCAGUAUGCUUUGGAUAUGUAUUGAUUGAUAUGGUGGGGCCCUGUCCCGACCUUUAUAAUUUUAUGUACUCUUAGAGGCUUGGAGACAUAUGUCGUGUAUAUGAAAAUCAUAUGGCCUUAUCGGCCUAUGUUCAGUGUAUGAGUUAUCACUUUGGUUUUAUAGGCACGUAUGUCACAUGUAUAAGUUUGCAUGUCAUGUCCGGUCGUCCAAUAUUUAGUAUUCCAUUAUAUUUUAUUUUUGUUAUCUCAUGACGACCUUUCUAG
rnacentral:lncRNA from 1 species